GGGAUAUGAUGAGUGGUCAUUACUCGCAAUAAAAUAAAAUAUGCGAGAAGAGCGUUCCAGCCCAGCCUGGUUACGACAAUUUGGGCGCUCUCAUUUUUACCAAUCUGAUCCC
rnacentral:snoRNA from 1 species